GUUUUAAUAAUUUAAAUAUUUAAAAUAAUGAUUUUGUAAAUCAAAAAUAAGAAAUUUUCUUUUAAAACU
rnacentral:tRNA from 1 species